rnacentral:sRNA from 1 species
ACUAGGGAUCGUCCGCAGGAUUGGGACUGAUACAGAGGCCGCCACGGAGCCCGCCGGAGCCACCGUUCCUGCUGCUGCUGCCGCUGCCCGAAUCGGAACCGUCGGGCCGCAGCCGCCGGCAAUGCCGCGAAGGAAGAGGAAUGCAGGCAGUAGUUCAGAUGGAACCGAAGAUUCCGAUUUUUCUACAGAUCUCGAGCACACAGACAGUUCAGAAAGUGAUGGCACAUCCCGACGAUCUGCUCGAGUCACCCGCUCCUCAGCCAGGCUAAGCCAGAGUUCUCAAGAUUCCAGUCCUGUUCGAAAUCUGCAGUCUUUUGGCACUGAGGAGCCUGCUUACUCUACCAGAAGAGUGACCCGUAGUCAGCAGCAGCCUACCCCAGUGACACCGAAAAAAUACCCUCUUCGGCAGACUCGUUCAUCUGGUUCAGAAACUGAGCAAGUGGUUGAUUUUUCAGAUAGAGAAAUAUAUGGAACACAGACAGACCUAUGGGAACACACGGGAACCUCUUUUAGAAAACCUGACAAGCGAAUAUGACUUGGAUCUUUUCCGAAGAGCACAAGCCC